rnacentral:rRNA from 1 species
AUUGAACGCUGGCGGCAGGCCUAACACAUGCAAGUCGAGCGGAUGAAGGGAGCUUGCUCCUGGAUUCAGCGGCGGACGGGAGUGUCAUGCCUAGGACUCUGCCUGGUCGUGGGGGAUAACGUCCGGAAACGGGCGCUAAUCCCGCAUACGUCCUGUGGGGGAAAGUGGGGGGUCUUCGGACCCCACGCCAUCAGAUGAGCCUAGGUCGGAUUAGCUAGUUGGUGGGGUAGAGGCCUACCAAGGCGACGAUCCGUAACUGGUCUGAGAGGAUGAUCAGUCACACUGGGACUGAGACACGGUCCAGAGACCUACGGGAGGCAGCAGUGGGGAAUGUUGGACGAUGGGGGAAAGCUUGAACCAGCCGUGCCGGGUGUGUGAAGAAGGUCUUCGGAUGGGAAAGCACUUUAAGGUGUGAGGAAGGGCAGUAAGUGAAUACCUGGUUUUUGUGACGGUACCAACAGAAGAAGCACCGGCUAACUUCGUG